rnacentral:tRNA from 1 species
CAGGGUUAUAGUUUAAUAAAAUAUUAGCAUUGGAAGCUAAAGUUUAGGUAAUACUCCUAUGCCCUGA